ensembl:lncRNA
CUGCAGACUGGAUGGUGAAAGGCAGAAGCCGAGGAGGUGGAAGUGCAGAUUUGGAGCUUCUGCCAGUGGCAAGGAUGGGAAGCAUGAAAGCGAUCUAAAAUAACAAGAGGACAGAGAGUGAACAGCAGCUGAAUCGUAUCAAAGGUAUGAAUCUGUUUGAUAUCCUGGACUUCAGGGCUCUCCUUGACUCUGACACCUUUUUAUAGACAUGAGAUGCUGAGCAGUUGAUGUUCCAUUGUUUGUUUUUAGCUGACAUCCACUGAGAAUGCCAGGCAUUUAAGUGCUUUAUUUACAUAUAUUAUGUUAUCUGACCUGCACAAAAGUACCCAAUAAGUAUGUAGAAGGUAUAAUUAUUAUUUUAUUUUACAUAUAAGGAAACUGAGAUUUGAAUGUUGUGAAGGAGGUGGUGGCCACAUAACUAACAUAAUAAAUGACAUAACAAAUUACCUGAGUCAAACUCAGGUCUUUGUUGUUUAGUCAGUAAGUCGUGCCUGACUCUUCUGCCACCCCGUGGUCUACAGCCACCAGGUUCCUCUGUUGAUGGGAUUUUCC